GCAGGAGCUUUCUAAAGUGGUAGCUAUUGAUUUGAAGCUGUAAAUUACUAUUUAAAACUGACUAUUCUCUAGCUGAUUAUAACUAAAUAGUUCAUCAGAGGAUAGUCAGUUUUAAAUAGUAAUUUACAGCUUCAGAUCAAUAGUUAUCACUUUAGAAAGCUCCUG